rnacentral:rRNA from 1 species
GACGGAGGGUGCAAGCGUUGCUCGGAUUUACUGGGCGUAAAGAGCACGUAGGCGGCUCGGUAAGUCUGAUGUGAAAGCCCUGGACUCAAUCCAGGAAGUGCAUUGGAUACUGUCGGGCUAGAAUGCAGGAGGGGUAAGCGGAAUUCCAGGUGUAGAGGUGAAAUUCGUAGAUAUCUGGAGGAACAACGGUGGCGAAGGCGGCUUACUGGACUGAUAUUGACGCUGAGGUGCGAAAGUGCGGGGAGCAAACGGG